rnacentral:lncRNA from 10 species
AUGCCACCAAUCUCAGGGGUUCUGUCCUGGCCUGCGGCCCUGGAUGGUCCAACCUCUGCUGGGAUGGGGAGCAGACGACGCCCUUCUUGGCUGGAGCUGAGGGUGGGGGUCCCGCUUCCCCCACAAGGCCUAGCCCUGGAUUCCAGCCACAGGUCCUACUGGGCAGCGCCUGGCACCACCCUGCCCCUCCAGGCCUGGCACUCGCUCUCAACAAACAUGGCGCAGACGGCCUCACGCGCAUCACGCGGCAGGCGCCUCACGCUACAGGCCUGCAGGGCUCCCCCUCCUCCCCGCUGCGCCGCUCUCAUCCUCUCAGACUGGCUGACAAGACAGGGAGCCGGAAGUAUGACCUGGCUGGUGGCGGUGUCCUGGGCGGCUCUCGGGGGCUGUUGUGUGGCUGCCCGCAGGAGCUGCUGGGCGGGAUGCUGUACACCCGGGAGAGCCGAUUGCUGGAGCGCAAGGAGCUGGACGGCCUCUGAAGCUUCCAAGCCGACCUCUCUGACAACCCACGCCGGGGCUUCCAGGAGCAGAGAUACAGGGUCUCACUACGUUAUCCAGGCUGAUCUCGAACUCCUGACCUCAAGCCAUCCUCCCAGGUUGACUUCCCAAAGCGCUCAUUACAGGCAUGAGCCACCACUCGUCAGGCCGGAGCAGCAGGCGCUGCACAGAGCUGGGCCCGGGGUUCGCGAGAAGGGGACAGUUUAGACAUUCUGAGUCGGGCCCCACCUUGUACAUACCGGUUCCCUCCAUCUUCAUCGACAUCAGCCAGGACUGGCGGCUGUGGUGUUUUGUCAGCUGGGUGUGUUACGAACGGGAGGUGACCCUGCUGGAGCGAUGGAUCUAGGACCUGUGCACAAGAGUGGUGCUGAGGAUUGGCAGUGCCCACUUCUAUGCCAUCGUGCCCACUUCUAUGCCAGUGCGGCCAGGAGCAGGUAGGGCGGGUGGGUGGGCACAGCUGCUGAACAGCAUGGGACCCUCGGAUGCCACCCACAGCCUGUCUCCUGGGGUGGGACGGUGGGGGGCCUUACCCUGCCCUGGGGGCUGUGCCCUGUGUAGGGGGAUAGGCGGCCUGAUCUACCCCACUGGGAUGUCUUCCCGUCUGGCUGGCAGGCCCCUGAGCCCCAUGCUGCAGGUUAUGUGAGGGAGUGCCCGAUAGCAGAGCCCCUCCUCAUGCCCCGACCUGCCACCCCCUCCCCAUAUCUCCUAUGUCUGCAGUGGGUGAAUGGGGUCGACAUGCUGGAGCAUGAAAGGGGCUACCUCCCCUUCAAGGCUGACAGCAGCAGCCUGUUCCGGGUGGGGUCCCUGCCCUCCUGCCUCUGCGUCACUGUCGUCAUCAACAACAUACUUGCCCCCCCACCCUGCCACCAGGGACCAUGUGUACAUGACCGACACCUCCAAGUGGAUACCAUCCUGCCUCCACUGCACGCACCCACCUUCCCACCCCACCCUGUGGUCUUCCUGCCCGGGACAGGGUGGCCUUCGCAGAGAGGAGGCCCUGAUCUGGGGAGGCAAGUGAGCUGAGGGCAAAAGACCCAUGGCAAGGGCCCAGCGAACCACAAUCCUUCUGCCCUAGGUAUCCCAAGGGUUACUUUGUCCAGAACACAGACUUUGACUUCUUCAACUAUGCGGGACUGCAGCAGUCUGUGCUUCUGUACACGACACCCACCACCUAUAUCGACGUCACCGUCACCACCAGUGUGGAGCGAGACAGUGGUGAGAGCUUCUGGUAGGAUCCUCCCUCAGCGGGGCCCCGGGUGGCUCUGUUUGUUCCCUGUUUGGAAAGCUUUCCCAGGAAAAAGGUUCUCCCCGCAUCUCUAAACCUUCACAGGUUCCCAUCCACCUACGAAACUAAAAUCCAGGCUGUCUGAGUGGGCACGAGCUCCCAAGAUCACCUAUGUGGUUGAUCUCGCUUGGAGAAGAGGGGUCUGGCCCAACGUCACAUAGCUCAGGGUGGCAGUCCUGUCCUUUCCCCACGGUGCUGCUCUCACUCUAGCUCCCCUUGCUACACAUCGUGCUCAAAGAACAGGCAGCUUCGGCUGGCCAGGUGCGGUGGCUCACGCCUGUCAUCCCAGCUCUUUGUAAGGAGGACUUGGUAGGAGGAUCACUUCAGGCCAAGAGUUCAAGACCAGUCUGGGCAACAUAGCGAGACCAUCAGCACAAAAAAUUUAAAAAUUUGCCAGGCACGGUGAUGCGUGCCGGUAGUCCCCGCUGCUGAGGCAGGAGAAUCAGUUGAGCCUGGGAGGUCAAGGGUGCAGUCAGCUGUGACCGCGUCACUGCACUCUGGUCUGGGCAACAGAGGGAGACCCUGUCUUUUUUAUUUGUAUUUGUUUUUGAGCUGGAGUCUCACUCUGUAGGAGCCCAGACUGGAGGACACUGGUGCACUCUUGGGCUCGCUGCAACCUCCGCCUCCCAAGUUCAAGUGAUUCUCCUGCCUCAGCUUCCCAAGUGGUAGCUGGGAUUACAGGCACCUUCUACUGCAUCCAGCUAAUUUUUG